UCCAGACUCCUACGGGAGGCAGCAGUGGGGGAUAUUGCACAAUGGGGGGAACCCUGAUGCAGCGACGCCGCGUGGGUGAAGGAGCGUUUCGGCGCGUAAAGCCCUAUCGGCAGGGAAGAAGGAGGACGGUACCUGACUAAGAAGCCCCGGCUAAUUCCGUGCCAGCAGCCGCGGUAAUACGGGAGGUCCGGGCGUUAUCCGGAUUUAUUGGGUUUAAAGGGAGCGUAGGCCGGCUUUUAAGUCAGCUGUGAAAGUCCGCGGCUCAACCGUGGAAUUGCAGUUGAAACUGGAGGCCUUGAGUGCACACAGGGAUGCCGGAAUUCAUGGUGUAGCGGUGAAAUGCUUAGAUAUCAUGAAGAACUCCGAUCGCGAAGGCAAGUGUCCGGGGUGCAACUGACGCUGAGGCUCGAAAGUGCGGGUAUCAAACAGGAUUUGAUACCCCGGUA
rnacentral:rRNA from 1 species